rnacentral:lncRNA from 1 species
CAAGGACCAAAAAUAAUAUGUUAAGUACAUGUGCCAACUGUCCUUAAUAAAUGUAAUCAUUAUGCAGUGCAGCUCUUGUUACCAUUGCUGCCUUGUGUAUGCCAUGUUGUUUCUGCUCUGCCAUCCUUGUUUGUCGACUCUUCCUUGGAGUUGGCUGAUUAUGGACUGAAACCUCUACAAACUGUCCCUGCCUUGUUCUCGGGAGGAAGAAUUGAGAUGCUUGUUCCUUGUUCCACUCUGGGACCUGCCUCAUCCAUGGGAGGAGGUGUUGGGUCUGGCCAUAAUGAUCUACAGGGCAGCACUCCAAGCAUUUGUCUAUUAUAAAGCUUGUGUGAACAUUUUAGUAUACAAUUAUUUUGUAUAUUUUUGGUUAUUGGAUAAUAGGAUUUCAAUAAAAAGUGUUUAAAGUGGUUAUAAUAGUGCAUAUAUUCUAGAAAGUACUUGAAAAGGUUUUGGCAAAUGCAGCUUGCUUUUAUCAUGUUACGUGUCCACCAGGUCUUUCCAUAUUGCAUACAGAUUUAGUAAAUGAUUCUUACUCAGUGUGUGUGGUGCUAAGAAUAUUGGAAUAGCAAAUGAUUCUUAAAGAGUCAUCAGAAUUCUUCCUGGUGUGGUGGCUCAUGCAUUUGGGGAGGCCGAAGCAGGAGGAUUGCUGCAAGUUCAAGGCUAGUCUGGGUUAUACAAUAUAGUGAGACUCUGUCUCCAAAAAAAAAAAAAAUCAGUAUUCAAAUACAUUGCAAU